CAGUCGCCGCGGUAAUACGAAGGGGGCUAGCGUUGUUCGGAAUUACUGGGCGUAAAGCGCACGUAGGCGGAUAUUUAAGUCAGGGGUGAAAUCCCGCAGCUCAACUGCGGAACUGCCUUUGAUACUGGGUAUCUUGAGUAUGGAAGAGGUUAGUGGAAUUGCGAGUGUAGAGGUGAAAUUCGUAGAUAUUCGCAGGAACACCAGUGGCGAAGGCGGCUAACUGGUCCAUAACUGACGCUGAGGUGCGAAAGCGUGGGGAGCAAACAGGAUUAGAUACCCCAGUAGUCCCUGUCUCUUAUAA
rnacentral:rRNA from 1 species